UACAAAUGAUGAUGAAAUCAAGUCUUGUUUCUCAAAAUAUUCGCAGUUGCCACCUAACAACUUUUACCCUACCAGGCUCGAGAGUUAAUGCUGCUAGAUCCUUCCUUCGAUGUCUGAUGCA